CAGCAGCCGCGGUAAUACGUAGGUCCCGAGCGUUGUCCGGAUUUAUUGGGCGUAAAGCGAGCGCAGACGGUUAUUUAAGCAGGAUGUGAAAUCCCCGGGCUUAACCUGGGAACUGCGUUCUGAACUGGAUAGCUAGAGUGUGUCAGAGGGGGGUAGAAUUCCACGUGUAGCAGUGAAAUGCGUAGAGAUGUGAAGGAAUACCGAUGGCGAAGGCAGCCCCCUGGGAUAACACUGACGCUCAUGCACGAAAGCGUGGGGAGCAAACAGGAUUAGAUACCCGCGUAGUCCCUGUCUCUUAUAC
rnacentral:rRNA from 1 species